rnacentral:rRNA from 1 species
AUUGAACGCUGGCGGCAGGCUUAACACAUGCAAGUCGAGCGGGGUGAUGGUGCUUGCACUAUCACUUAGCGGCGGACGGGUGAGUAAUGCUUAGGAAUCUGCCUAUUAGUGGGGGACAACAUCUCGAAAGGGAUGCUAAUACCGCAUACGUCCUACGGGAGAAAGCAGGGGAUCACUUGUGACCUUGCGCUAAUAGAUGAGCCUAAGUCGGAUUAGCUAGUUGGUGGGGUAAAGGCCUACCAAGGCGACGAUCUGUAGCGGGUCUGAGAGGAUGAUCCGCCACACUGGGACUGGGAGACGGCCCAGACUCCUACGGGAGGCAGCAGUGGGGAAUAUUGGACAAUGGGGGGAACCCUGAUCUAGCCAUGCCGCGUGUGUGAAGAAGGCCUUAUGGUUGUAAAGCACUUUAAGCGAGGAGGAGGCUCUUUUGGUUAAUACCCAAGAUGAGUGGACGUUACUCGCAGAAUAAGCACCGGCUAACUCUGUGCCAGCCGCCGCGGUAA